UGAUUCUGAUACCGUUGUUCCCUAUUUCAUAAAUUCUUUCCUUUCAUAACCACCACCAACAGCUCCAAGGGGGCUUGAUGUUUAAUGGACAAGACACGCCUGCUUCUACAGCGUAAGAAGGAGCAUACCUGGGAACUGAUGGCGUACUUCAGGACGCUGACGUCAUUGCACGGACCUGCAGUAUCUUGGCUCUUGGCGUCUGUAUCAAGACUAGAAGAAGUUCAGAAUUUUUCUUGUAUUAUGGUAUGCACCACUUUGACAGGCUGGUAGAUUCCAUAAACUUUAAUAACGUUUUUAAAUGCAUGAAAUAAACUACGUAAGACUACAAAGGAAAUCGAUUCUACCAAAAUCCAAUUAAAAUAAAAAAAAACAAAUCCUGA